rnacentral:rRNA from 1 species
UACGGAGGGUGCGAGCGUUAAUCGGAAUUACUGGGCGUAAAGCGUGCGCAGGCGGUUCGUUGUGUCGGCGGUGAAAGCCCCGGGCUUAACCUGGGAAUGGCCGUUGAAACUGGCGAACUGGAGUGUGGCAGAGGGGGGUGGAAUUCCGCGUGUAGCAGUGAAAUGCGUAGAGAUGCGGAGGAACACCGAUGGCGAAGGCAGCCCCCUGGGCUAACACUGACGCUCAGGCACGAAAGCGUGGGGAGCAAACAGG